rnacentral:misc_RNA from 1 species
CGCACCUUGCGCUCCUUGGUAUUCCGAGGAGCAUGCUUGUUUGAGUGUCACGAAAUCAUCAACUCUCUGAGUUCUAUUCUUAGAGGGCUUGGAAUUGGGGAUUGCUGGUGGAAGCCGGCUUCUCUCGAAAGCAUUAGCUUGAAUGACGUUUGCGGCGUUCCUGCAGUGUGAUAAUGUCGUCAUUGCAUGCCGUCAUUCCGUGAAUCAAGCUUCGAAUCGCGCUUCGCGCGCUUCUCGCCGAUCCUCGACGUCGAUCCUUCGACGCCGAUCAUUGUCGAUCAUCUAGACCUCAAAUCAAGUAGGACUACCCGCUGAACUUAA